GAUGAAGACGCAGUGAAAUGCGAUAAGUAGUGUGAAUUGCAGAAUUCAGUGAAUCAUCGAAUCUUUGAACGCACAUUGCGCCCCUUGGUAUCCCGAGGGGCAUGCCUGUUCGAGCGUCAUUUCACCACUCAAGCCUGGCUUGGUGUUGGGCGACGUCCUCUUUGGGGACGCGCCUCGAAACGCUCGGCGGCGUGGCACCGGCUUUAAGCGUAGCAGAAUCUUUCGCUUUGGAAGUCGGGGCCCCGUCUGCCGGAAGACCUGCUCGCAAGGUUGACCUCGGAUCAGGCAGGGAUACCCGCUGAACUUAAGCAUAUCAAUAAGCGGAGGA
rnacentral:misc_RNA from 1 species